GAUGAACGCUGGCGGCGUGCUUAACACAUGCAAGUCGAACGGAAAGGCUCCUGCUUGCAGGGGUACUCGAGUGGCGAACGGGUGAGUAACACGUGGGUGAUCUGCCCUGCACUUCGGGAUAAGCUUGGGAAACUGGGUCUAGUACCGGAUAGGACCGCAUUUUGGAUGGUGUGGUGGAAAGUUUUUUCGGUGUGGGAUGAGCUCGCGGCCUAUCAGCUUGUUGGUGGGGUAAUGGCCUACCAAGGCGUCGACGGGUAGCCGGCCUGAGAGGGUGUACGGCCACAUUGGGACUGAGAUACGGCCCAGACUCCUACGGGAGGCAGCAGUGGGGAAUAUUGCACAAUGGGCGCAAGCCUGAUGCAGCGACGCCGCGUGGGGGAUGACGGCCUUCGGGUUGUAAACUCCUUUCGCUAGGGACGAAGAGUAAUUGACGGUACCUGGAGAAGAAGCACCGGCUAACUACGUG
rnacentral:rRNA from 1 species